CCUAUUUACACUGCUGGCAUUAAAGUGAAAUAAAUGUUCAGUUUCUGGCAGUUGGAAUAAAAGGGACUGAAACUUUAAGAAAUAAGAACGUAUUUUGCAAACAGAAAGUGAGUGUACAAGGGAAGAUCAGAGCAUAGCUUUCGAAGGAGGCGAUGGAAAGAGACUCCGGAGGGAAUUACAAUCAGGCUUCUGCGGGAGGAGGAAAACAGCGGUGAUCCAGAGACAGGAGUACACUUGAGUGUGCCCAGGACAGCUCAUGCAUAUACGCACGUUCCUCUGAAGCACUGUGUUGGCAGUAAGCAGCUCAGCUGAAUCCUUAGAUUCUUCUCGGAAGAUCAAGUCCAGAUGACUCCAACAUAA
rnacentral:lncRNA from 1 species